rnacentral:rRNA from 1 species
CCUACGGGUGGCAGCAGUAGGGAAUCUUUCACAAUGGGCGAAAGCCUGAUGGAGCAACGCCGCGUGCAGGAUGAAGGCCUUCGGGUUGUAAACUGCUUUCAUAAGCGAGAAAUAUGAUGGUAACUUAUGAAUAAGGAUCGGCUAACUACGUGCCAGCAGCCGCGGUCAUACGUAGGAUCCGAGCAUUAUCCGGAGUGACUGGGUGUAAAGAGUUGCGUAGGUGGCAUAAUAAGUAGCUAGUGAAAUCUGGUGGCUCAACCAUUCAGACUAUUAGGUAAACUGUUAAGCUCGAGACCGUUAGAGGUAACUGGAAUUUCUAGUGUAGGAGUGAAAUCCGUAGAUAUUAGAAGGAACACCAGUAGCGUAGGCAGGUUGCUGGGACGGUUCUGACACUAAGGCACGAAAGCGUAGGGAGCAAACGGGAUUAGAUACCCCUGUAGUC